rnacentral:rRNA from 1 species
AACGAACGUUGGCGGCAUGGAUUAGGCAUGCAAGUCGAGCGGUAAGGCCCCGCAAGGGGUACACGAGCGGCGUAAGGGACAGUAAUGUGUAGGUACGUACCUCCGGGCCUGGGAUAGCUGUGGGAAACUGCAAUUAAUACCAGAUGAUGUCUCCGGACCAAAGGUGUGAUUCCGCCGGGAGAGCGGCCUACAUCCUAUUAGCUAGUUGGCGGGGUAACGGCCCACCAAGGCUCAGAUGGGUAGCAGGUGUGAGAGCACGACCUGCGUCACUGGGACUGAGACACUGCCCAGACACCUACGGGUGGCUGCAGUCGAGAAUCUUCGGCAAUGAGCGCAAGCUUGACCGAGCAAUGCCGCGUGCGGGAAGAAGGCCUUCGGGUUGUAAACCGCUGUCAGAGGGAACGAAAUGCCAGUGGGUACUCUCAUUGGUUUGACUGAUCCUCAAAGGAAGGGUGGGCUAAGUUCGUGCCAGCCGCCGCGGUAAAAC